rnacentral:rRNA from 1 species
UACGUAGGGGGCAAGCGUUGUCCGGAAUCAUUGGGCGUAAAGAGCGCGUAGGCGGUCCGGUAAGUCCGCUCUGAAAGUCCGGGGCUCAACCCCGGGAGGCGGGCGGAUACUGUCGGGCUAGAGUCCGGAAGAGGCGAGUGGAAUUCCUGGUGUAGCGGUGAAAUGCGCAGAUAUCAGGAGGAACACCGGUGGCGAAGGCGGGUCUCUGGGCCGUAACUGACGCUGAGGAGCGAAAGCGUGGGGAGCGAACAGG